CAACUGGAAUUUACUCCUCAGUUUCUUUUCGUGCUGCAAAUUGUUUGAACAUGUGAAUCUCCAGAACUGGGAAAGAAGACGGCCAGUACUUUCUAAAGGUCCUCAUACCUAGUUAUGCUGCUGGAUCUAUAAUUGGGAAGGGAGGACAGACAAUUGUUCAGUUGCAAAAGGAAACGGGAGCCACGAUCAAGCUGUCUAAGUCCAAAGAUUUUUAUCCAGGUACUACUGAGAGGGUUUGCUUGAUCCAGGGAACGAUUGAAGCACUGAAUGCAGUUCAUGGAUUCAUUGCAGAAAAAAUUCGAGAAAUGCCCCAAAAUGUUGCCAAGACAGAACCAGUCAGUAUCCUGCAACCUCAGACCACCGUUAACCCUGAUCGCAUCAAACAAACAUUGCCAUCUUCCCCAACUACCACCAAGUCCUCUCCAUCUGACCCCAUGACCACCUCCAGAGCCAAUCAGGUAAAGAUUAUAGUUCCCAACAGCACAGCAGGUCUGAUAAUAGGGAAGGGAGGUGCUACUGUGAA
rnacentral:lncRNA from 1 species